rnacentral:rRNA from 1 species
GACGAACGCUGGCGGCGUGCUUAACACAUGCAAGUCGAACGAGCGGCGGACGGGUGAGUAAUGUCUGGGAAACUGCCUGAUGGAGGGGGAUAACUACUGGAAAAGGUAGCUAAUACCGCAUACCAUCAGAUGUGCCCAGAUGGGAUUAGCUAGUAGGUGGGGUAAGGGCUCACCUAGGCGACGAUCCCUAGCUGGUAUGAGAGGAUGAAAAGCCACACUGGAACUGAGACACGGUCCAGACUCCUACGGGAGGCAGCAGUGGGGAAUAUUGCACAAUGGGAGCAAGCCUGAUGCAGCAAUGCCGAGUGUGUGAAGAAGGCCUUCGGGUUGUAAAGCACUUUCAGCGAGGAGGCGUUACUCGCAGAAGAAGCACCGGCUAACUCCGUGCCAGCAGCCGCGGUAAUAC